GGGCGCCGCGUCUGGACGGGCGGGCAGAAUGGAUGAGCGAAAGGUGCCAUGGAGUGAGGAAUACCCCGAGUCUCAUGUAAGACAACUAAAUGCACCUCGAGGUGCAGCCGAGGAACUGGGGGACCUUCUCGAGCACAGGAUAGGCAAUUGAGAGAUAGAGCUAGCCUAUUCGUUAUGGGGAAUCUAUGCUCCGGGCCGAAAAGAAUAGAGCUUACCUACGGCACCUGGCUUUCUCCGGCGCAUAUUAGCUUAGCUGCGCUUAAUAGGCCGGCUUCCUCUCUGGCGGCCACUUACCUUACCCACGCUACACUCCCACUCCAAGCUACGCCUGCUGAGCAAGAUGCAUUGCGAUUUCCUCUUCUGUGGACGCACCGGAAUCUUCUCCAGGACGAGAAGAUAAAGACUUUUAUGGCGGGCUUUAUCUCGUAAAGCCAAAGACGCCCGGGGGAAGGGGACAUAAUCAAUAGAACCUGGCUGGGGUAGUGAGGCCCAUUCCUAACCAGUUUCGAAAAGGUCCGCUCAUGCUGGAGGGAGCAUCCCCACUUAGUGAUCGGUCCGCUAGUUCGCGCAAAUCCGAAUAAGUUAUCACGGACGAGCCACAUGCAGGGAAACUUGCACGUGUGGUUCUGGCCGGGCUUUCCUGAGGUAUCUAAUAACCUUGCUUCUGCUCGCCGCUGGCGCACCUCUCCUAACUAUUGCCCAUUUAUUCCGGAAUAAUCUUUUUAGGAGGGACAAUUUUACAUAUUUCUGCCAAAUCCUUCUAUUAUUAAGUACGGCUGGUACCAUUUCGAUGUGUUUCGAUUCUUCCGAACAAGAGAGGUUUGAUGCUUUUGAAUUCAUUGUAUUAAUUCCACUUCCUACUCGCAGUAUGCUCUUUAUGAUCUCGGCUCAUGAUUCAAUUGCCAUGUAUUUAGCUAUUGAGCCUCAAAGUUUAUGUUUUUAUGUGAUGGCAGCAUCAAAAAGAAAGUCUGAAUUUUCCACGGAAGCCGGCUCGAAAUAUUUGAUCUUAGGUGCAUUUUCCUCUGGAAUCUUACUGUUUGGGUACGACCGGACAACUACCGAUAUCUAAAAAUAUCCUUUCUUAGCUUAGAAUGUUGUUGUUAAAUAUAUAUCGUAAACUAUCGGAUCGGGUAUUGUAUUACUUAGAUGUGAAACUUGCAGACCUCAUUGGUGAUCUUACGGGGGGAACUAAAUAUAAAAUAAUAUAUAGACUUGUAGAGACCCUCUAUGUAGUUGUCUGGCGAUCGAUCUACAUCUUUCCUCAAAGCCCUGGGGCUGUGUCUCGAUCUCCUACGUGCGAAAUCUGAGGGACUAGUUCCUAUGGAGAUUCCCUUUGGUCUAAUUCCACGCCUUAUGACGAAAGGAGAGUCGGCGUGGCGUAAAGUUAAGAUUGAGGGAAAUAGAGAUAAAUUCCCUUAUGGGGUAUUCCGAAGGUGUAACCUAGGCAACGAAAUAAAAAGGGGCCCGAGACUUCAACUAGAGGAGCGACUAGUUGGUUCACCAAACCCCGACCCAGCGUCACGCGUUCUCCAGGUCCGAAGGGAUCCAGUGCCCAACUACCGACUCCUUCCGGAAUUGCGUUAUCGGAGCCGAGCCAGGAAUGGCCGUUAGUGGACACCUACCACUUUUCACCGGUUAGAGAGGCCCUCUUUAAUACAUUAAGAAAAGAUGUUCACAGGGGCCAGAAGGACUCGGUCAUAGGAACUUAGACCGCCUACGCGCUGGUAAACGAAAACCACCUCGACCGGAUCAGAGUAAACAACAAUGUCGAAUCAGGCCGCCCCUUGCCUUGAAAGAAUUCACAGGCGGCCACCAGCUUUCAUUAAUUCAAUCAAUAAGGGGAUAUCUGCUGCUUACUGCUCACGGAAACAUCCGACCUAUACUAUAGUCAAGUCGUCCGCCUAUCAAUAAGAUGGGUGUGUAUUAGCAUUAUCCAUUUAUAAAUGUUUUAUUUUGAGUUGUACAAAUAUCUAUAUAUGUAAUUUUAAAUUAUGGUUGGUGAUACAAGUUUAUAAAGAGGAUUUUGAUUUUGGAAAAUAUUGAAAUUAUAAAGGAUACUCUAUCAAAUAACUUCAAGGGUUUAAAGUGACAUUGAAUUUGAAGAUUCUGCCUUCUAACCCCACUACUUUUUUUUUUAGAGAGAGAUAAAUGUAAAUUUAUUUAUAAGUAUUAUUUGUCCAUUAAAAUCUUAUUUGAUUUGGACUGUGGUACCAUCCAAUUAUCAUUAAUUUUUAUUAAAUCAGAAAAACAUCAACCAGUGGUCGCAAUAUUACCAUCAAUUAUAUAUAAUCUCAAUUUUAAUUAUGAAUCGAAAAUAUACAAAAUAUUUCUGAAGGAUAAUAGAAAGAGAAAAAAAACAAUUGUGAGGACAAAACUUAUCAUUUUAAAGGCUAAAAUAAUGGAAUGAUAUCAAAGUUGCAACAAAUGUUAUAUUUAAGAGAUCUAAAAGUCUUUUUUUUUUUACUCGUUUACGUCUAAAAGUCCAAUUUAGAAAAGGGAGAACUAGUUUUGUAGACGUGAUAAAAUAAGGAUCAAAAGUAAAAUUUCACAUUUUAUAUAUGAGUGACAAAUAUUUGUCUAAUUAUUUUAUUUUAUUUUACAAGAAUGUCUAUUGUUAAACUUCUAUUUAUAAAAAAAAUGUCUAAAUUUUUCUUUUCUUUUUGAGGGAAUGUCUAAUUAUUUUAUAAAUGACACAUAUCUUGUAGUAUAUUGGAAAUUCCUAAAACACACCUUAAAAUCCUGAAAAAAUGUUCAAACUCCUCCCCUGUUAUCAACUUGAAAUCUUUAUUCAAAAAAUAAAAAACCCCUCUUAUUACAUUCACUCUCUUAUUACUCUCGGAUUCAACUAUUCCUUUUAUUGAAACUUUAAAAAAAAAAAAAAAGAUUCAACAUUAGAUUACAUUCAUAUUAGACUGCCCCUAUUUUCAAUGUUCUAGGGGACUCUUUGAUAUUUGCUUUCACAUAAUUACCUAUUUCAUAUAAACCAUUGCAUUAACUUCCUUUUCCACGGUAAUGUUUUUUACUUGACAAAUUUCAUAUAAACCAUGUAUUUUGUAUUGUCCUUUUCCACUUAUGACGGAGCCAGAAUGCAUGCAGAGAAAAAUGGUCCAGGUUUGUCUGUACACUACAACGUGAAAUGCAUGUGUUUUAUGGAUUUUUUUGGCUUUUUUACAUUGUAAAAUUAUCCUCAACUUUCAAUGCAAAUAGUAUAUAUAAUAAAAUGUAACAAAUUUUACAUGUCCUAUUGUUUCUUUAUCUUUUAGAAAAGAUAAUGGAAGAAAGUGAAUUUAAAUAUUAAAAAAUAAUGUAACAAACAUAAUUUUUUUUUUUGUUAUCAUACAAAAUAUAUCACGUAACAAACACGAUACGAGUAUAAUGACAUGUUUUAUUUCCUUUUUCCUUAAAAAAAAUAUAACAAACUAGAUCAAAUAUAUGGCAUUAUAAAUAUAAUCAAUAAGAAAAUGAUGGUUAUUUUAUUUUUAUUCUAUAUACAGACAAACCAAAAUAUAUCAAGUUGAUAGAUAAUUUCGUUAUAUGCUCCGACAAUAAUUUGUAUAUAAAUCGAUUUACAAAUAAUUUCCAUUAAUAUUUCAAAAUUGUAAUCAAAAUUAUACAAACAAACAUAAUAAAAUUUACACACACGUUAGUGCGGUAAAAAGAGUGGACAGACGGACACAGUAAUGACAGUCUUUCUGCUAGUGUUCAUAACAUUACUUAUCUCACGGUAUAACUGGUCUAGUUAUUUUGAUUUGGAUAUAUGUUUUGAUAUAUAACAUAUUCAUGAUCACUUUCAUCAGUUUGUUUAUUUAACAGAUGCUUUUAAAGCGCGAUGCUCUUUUUAUUUGACUCUUUUGUACUUGAGUUUUAUGGAACGAAAGAAAUAAUUAUAGAUUAUUCAAGAACAAGGAAAGUUUCUUAUACUAGUUGUUGGAUAAAAUUAAGUUACAUUCCUUUUGGUGGAUGAAUGCAACAUAUGCUAAUUUUGAUUUAGGCUAUCGCAUCUAGUGGUCGAGCCCAUUUGAUUGAUUGAGCAUCGGCUAAUUUUUGUCUAAGUGUGUUUUGUUUUUUGGUUGACUUUUGUUGUAAACUUUUGUGGACUUCUUUGACACAUCUAGUGUUAAAGAGGUUCCUCUUUUGGUGUUAAUAUAAUCCAUUUUUGCUUGUUAAAAAUAAAUAAUAUUUUCUUUUGAGGGAAAUAAAUAAUAUUAUAAUGACCGUUAAUUAUAAUAUGAUUUUGAAUUCACAAUGGUUUUCUAUUUCAUAUUGUUUACACCACACUUUUAAAAGGAGGUAUAUUGUUUGUUUACAUACAACGUGAAAUGUAUGUGUGCACAAUGCAUCAUUACAACUGCCUUCACUGAAUUUGGAUCGUCAAGUGUGCAUUAAUAAUUGAUAAUUUUUUGUUCUUUUCCACUUAUGUCGUAUUGUCCUUUUCCACUUAUGAAGGAGCCAGAAUGCAUGCAUGCAUGCAGAGCAAAAUGGUCCAGGUUUGUCUGUACAACGUGAAAUGCAUGUGUUUUAUAGCUAUGUCGGCUCUUUUUUUUACCUUCCAAAAUUAUCCUCAACUUUCAAUGCAAAUAGCACAUAUAAUAAAAUGUAAUAGAUUGUAUAUGUCCGAUUUUUUCCUUAUCAUUUAGAAAAGAUAAUGGAAGAAAGUAAAUUCAAAUAUUGAAAAAAAUGUAACAAACACAAUAUUCUUUUAUGUUAUCACAAAAUAUAUCACGUAACAAACACGAUAUGAGUAUAUAUAUGUCCAAUUUUGAGUUCCCCUAAUUGGUACACUGCACCUAUUCUUGUGAAUGAUUCACUAGUUCUACGAUGAUUAACAAAAUAGUCUUAGUCAAUCCCUUAAGUUAGGACCCUCUUCUAGGGUUACAACCCCUAAUUCCUUAGGUGGUCUAAUAUCUGUUGAAGGUUACGUUAACCUAAUAUCACUAAUAAAGGAUUAUCCAUUCCUAGACUAACCAUGUGUAUUAGAACAAUUCAAUUAAGUCUAAGUCGAAAGCUAUGGUCAGUAGUCAUUCGUUCUCACUAAAUCAUGUUUAUAUUUGAUCAGNACUUGCAACUUCUUUACCACCUCUUUCGGAAGCUAUAGCCUUGACCUUGGUUGGAUUUAGUGUGGUUGUGUUUAGGGAAUGUGCUAGUGGAAAGGGUUGGUUUAGUGAUGGGGUGAGUGUUAUGAGUUGGGUGGUGGAAAUUGGUGAUGAAUUUGUGGGUAGAUUGAGUUCCCAAGAGCCCCAUGCCUUUACUGGUAAACAACCAACCAACCACAUAUCAACCACAUAUGUGGACAAAAGUCUUUCCUCUUGUUGGGGGGAGCAGAGCGACGAAGUAACAAAAAGAAUGAAUCUCUGGCGGCAUAAAAUACAGGAAAUGCUCCGGCUGUUUUUCCUAGCUUUCCACAGGGCUAGAAUAGCCCUUUGUUGGAUUGGUUUGGAAUCCCAGUCUCUUACGUUCGUGAUUCUAUCUGUUCACCUUUUUUUGUGUUUAUAUUCCGGGGACAUCGCAACAUGCGAUGGGGUGGGAGGUGUGGAGGGACCUCCUUCACCGCCUGUUGUGGGCAUUCGGGUAGCCCCGGAGGUUUUGGGGGUGCCCCCCGCUGCCCCGGAGGUUUUGGAGGUGCCCCCCGCUUCCCCGGAGGUUCCGGUAUUAUUGGAUGCAUUAAUACCGGACCCCCAAAGAGAGGCCGAGCUUUACUCGCGUUUCUGGAUCAAUACGUUUGGGGAAAAUCCAACCCUACGUAGAAUUAGCGAUACUAUCUCGGUUCAAAGCGAGAUAGAUAGGCUAAUUGAAGCCGCUUUGAUUCAUAGCGGCUUCAAUCCGACUCGGGUAUUGCGUAACCGCCAUCGGAUAAGAGGUAUAGUUUUUUAAUAGUUUUUUAUCCGAGAGGUAGGGCACUCUCCUUGCGGCAGUACCGCUACCAUCUACGCAGUAUCUACCGGUUGGGUACCCGAGACACACGGGCCUUCCAACGUCUUAUGACGGCGGUUAGAAACUAUGAUCUAUGGCUAUAGGAAUAGAUCAGAGUAGAGGUGGGUAGCGGCACUGGGUGGGACCGAGAGCAAGAAAGGACGGGGGGCAACCUGCCUUUUUCAUUUAAGUGACGUUUUUGACUCAGUGAUCCAUGCGGGGAAAAUGAAAACUUAAUUCGUUCGGAUCCUCCCACAUGUUCAAUCUUUUUUUAGCGGUUUCCCCAGAGAUCUUUAUCAUUAAUGCAACCUUCAUUUUGCUCAUUCAUGGAGUUGUAUUUAGUACCUCUAAGAAAUAUGAUUAUCCACCGUUAGUCAGUAAUGUGGGUUGGCUUGGAUUACUUAGUGUUUCGCGCCUAGGAGGGCAGCGCGCUUUGGGAUGCGGAGGAGCGGAGCUGCUCGAACGAAUGAAUGUGAGANCUAACCAUGUGUAUUAGAACAAUUCAAUUAAGUCUAAGUCGAAAGCUAUGGUCAGUAGUCAUUCGUUCUCACUAAAUCAUGUUUAUAUUUGAUCAGGAUAUAAAAAGCAUUAAGAACAAUUGAAUUGAAUAAAAACUAGAUUGUCAUUCACGAUAAAUAGAGUUUCACAGCAACAUGUUUCAAUUAGGGUUACAAAGAAUCAUCUCAGACCUAACCUCUAAUGGAUUUAGCUACUCAUAAUGGUGUUUACAAAUAACAUAAUCAUUAGAGGAAUCAAUACAUACAUGAACUGGUAAAAGAGUGAAGAAAUCGCCCUUCUAGCCGUCUUGUAGUCUCAAAAUCGCACCUUGCUCUCUCCAAAUCGUAACCCUUGUUUUCAGAAUAGACUUCAGCUUAAAUAGGCACAUAAAUUCGCCUAAAAUCGUGUCACAUUUUAAGUAAAUCGUGAUACGUUUUCCUUUGAAUCGCAAACAACUGAAUUAGGGUUUCCUCAAAUCGAUUUUGCCAUCGUGACACGUUUUCCUCAAUGUCGAAGCAUGUUUUGGUCUUCUAAAAUCGUGUUACGUUUUUACCAAAUCCAUUAGAGGUUAGGUCUGAGAUGAUUCUUUGUAACCCUAAUUGAACCAUGUUGCUGUGAAACUCUAUUUAUUAUGAAUGACAAUCUAGUUUUUAUUCAAUUCAAUUGUUCUUAAUUCUUUUUAUAUCCUGGUCAAAUAUAAACAUGAUUUAGUGAGAACGAAUUACUACUGACCCUAGCUUUCGACUUAGACCUAAUUGAAUUGUUCUAAUAAACAUGGUUAGUCUAGGAAUGGAUAAUCCUUUAUUAGUGAUAUUAGGAUAACGUGCUUAUACGUUCAAAGAUUGUUAGAGCCCCUAAGUAAUUAAGGGUUGUAAUCCUCGAAGAAAGUCCUAACUCAAGGGAUUGAUUUUGGCUAUUUUGUUAACUAUCAUGGAACUAGAGAAUCAUUAAUAAGAAUAGGUGCAAUAUAUCAAUUAGGGGAGCAUCGAUGAUUCGAAAGACCUAAACUCAUCUCCCUCUUAUUCUUAAAACCAACUUUUACUUUCUGUCGUUACUUUUAUUGCAAACAAACCAAUCAACUGUCUAGUGGCAAAACAAAAGAACUUUUAUACAUCAUAUUUUACAACGUAAUUGAAUUAUUGAAAUUAAAACCAACCCUGGUGGGACCGAUAUUUUUACUACUUCGGUAGUAUUUGAUACACUUGCCAAACGUCUAUCAGCGGUUAUUCUGUUUAAUGUACCUUUCCCAUAUAUUUACCAACUUCCAAAUUUUGCAAAGAUCCGUGGAGCCACGCCAUUGACAGGUCACGACUCAAUUAAUAAAAUUUGAGCCUAUGCCCAUUUAUUUGGAAUUUUCAUUUAUUCUAUUUGCAAAAUUUCUUCCAUUUUUGAUGUAAAUACUUAAAGCAAAAAAAUAAAUAAAACUUUUUUACGUCUUUUGAAAGAUGUAAACAACAAAUAAACUCUCUUUGAACUCGUGAGUAGGUGAAGCAUACGUCAACUUCCGCCUCGAGAACGGUUAAACUCUGAAAGAGAAACAUGGCUAAGCACUGUGGAGAGGACCUCUGCUUUGAGCAAGAUGUUGUCACAAUCCAAAAAUAAAUAAAUAAACUACAAAAAAAAAAAAAAGAACUCGCUAAGCUGGAAACCUGAAAAUGAGGCUUAGACAAUAGAGAGUGUCCCGAUGGAAUGAACACUCGAAAGGGCGGUCGAGGCAAAAAUUAGGGGCACAAAAAAGGAAUAUAUUCCCGGUGGACUGAAAACCCGAAAGGGCGGACCAAGCAAAAGAUAGGGAUUUUCAAAAAAAGGAAAAACAAAAUAAAGAGGCAUGAUUACUAGGCCGUACAAGUGGAAGAACACUCCGUGCCGGUUUACAAAUGGCGACUUCUUCUAGAUUCUUUGGUUAACAAUGGGCUUUCUCCGCAAGAAGUGUCUACUUCCUUACUGGUUGCUACCUUAUGCCGGGCUUCACCCUGUCAAUGGCUCGAUUUGUCUCCAAUGAUAUCAUCUCCGAUGAAGAUUCUCGAGUGUUUGUACUGCAAUGUCAGUCCACCUCCCAUCUUACUUGUCCAUGUCUAUUUCGUUAAGUUUACCUGUCAUAUACAGUCAUACAGAUAUACAGUCAUACAAUCAUAUAGUUAUAUAGUCUUACAUUCAUACAUUCAUACGUUCAUGCAUACACAACAUAUACGCAUCAUCAUUCAUACAUGAUUGCGUUAGUCACCUAGAGUCUUGUUUAGGCGAAUAGCCUACAGAUACCUUUGUGUCAGGCAAAUAGCUUGCAAAUACCCUGUGCCACGCGAAUAGCUUCCAAAUACCCAGUGCCAAGCGAAUAGCUUCCAAAUACCCAGUGCCAUGCGAAUAGCUUGCAAACACCCUGUGCUAAGCGAAUAGCUUGCAAAUACCAUGUGCCAAGGGAAUGGCUUGCAAAUACCUUAAGCCAAGCACACAUGCUUGCAAAUUCUCUCUACCAAGCGAAUAGCUUGCAAAAACCAUGUGCGAAGCGAAUAGCUUGCAAAAAACCUGAGCCAAGCGAAUAGGUUGCAAAUACCCUAUGCCUAGCGAAUAGCUUGCAAAUACAUUGUGCCAAGCGAAUAGCUUGCAAAAAUCCUGUGCCAAGCGAUAGUUUGCAAAAACCCUUUGCCAAGUGAAUAACUUGCGAAUACCUUAAGCCAAGCGCACAUGCUUGCAAAUACCUUAAGUCAAGCGCACAUGCUUGCAAAUACCUUGAGCCAAGCGAACAUGCUUGCAAAUUUUUUCUCAAAAAAGUGUCUUCCCUAGUAUGUUUAGUCAAAAGAUGUCACUAAGAAGCUUUUGUCUUUAUUAAGCCAUCGUUUUGAACCAGUACGAUAGUAGACAACCAUUUUCCCUAGUGAAACUACAUUACCCAACCCUUUCUUCAACGAACUUGGGUAUCAUGUUGUUGUUUCUCUCCGUCAGUCAGAUCAUCUUUGUCGUCUUGCAUUCAUACUUGCAUCGCGAGCAUUUCAUAGAAUCUUAGGUCCAAAAUUGGUGUACUCUGUAUUUAAGUCUCUUCGGCCAAUCAAAUCGAAGAUUUCAUCUUCAAAUCUCCGGACGAAGAAACUUAAAUAGGGGCAUCUGUCAUACCCCAAUUUUUAACCUAAGAUCCUACUGUCACAUGUCUUUUGGCCCGUAGUAUUCUUUGCUUUUUCAAAGAAAAAUUCGGUAGAGAGGUAUUUUAAAAUACCUCAUUUUCGGUUCAGUUUUCGGGCCCGCUUUUUAUUUAUUUUAUUUUUAGUCCUUUUAUUUUGUUUUACUUUUUUACUUUUAGUUUUUAUUUAUUUACUUAUUUUAUUUUCACCUUUCAUUUUAUUUUUUAUUUUUACUUAGGUUUUUCUUAUUUUUAUUUACUUAGAGUAAGUCUGAAAAUAUGUCUAGAGUCCAAAAAAUAAUUCUUUCAUCCACGCCACAAUUAGUGGCCAAAUUACAGUGUGAGUUCUUUCUUUCCAAUAACACCAAAAAUGCGUUCUAUCACUUUCAAUCCUCAUUAAAAUUCAUUAAACCAAUUUUUCAUUUUCAUCAACCUUUGAACCAAUACUUUAAUCACAAACCCUAAACCGAAUCUAAAAAGAGGUAGUAUGUGUUAAUUUUGUUAUUUUUAGAUAUAGAGUCUUGGGUUUAGUCUUUGGUUUGAGAAAAGUGAAGAGGCAGGGAAAAGAAGCAAGAAAUUGAAGAAAAAAAUAUAAGGUUUUCGGCAGCGACCCCACCACCUUGGGGCGCCCGACCACCGUGCCGGUACCAAAACUCUGCCGAAGUUUUGAAGAAGAAGGAGGAGCAUUUGAGAGAGCAGAGAGAGUUGAAAGAGUGAAGAGAGAGAAAUAGAAGGUAGAAAUGAGAGAAAGGAGAGCCUUUGGCCUAUUUAUAGGCUUCUGGAUUCCUACGCUCAUCGCAUGGGUGCAUUUCCUUAGCAUGCACCCUCGCACCCUGGGCCCUUUGAUCUCAAUCUGAUGGCAUGUGGAAGUGUUUCUUUAGAUCAGACCCGGGCCAUUGAUCAAAUGAAUGGACCAGAUCCGACUGUUGGCCCAUGCGCCCCACUUUCUCUAAAGCCCAGUCUGUCUUUUUAUUUUACUUCCUGCACCCCCUUUUUACUACCUUCACCCCCUGCAUGCAUUUUUAUUUUAUUUAUUUUUCUAAUGUAUUUUUAUUUUUAUUGCGUUUUAUUUUUAUUGCAUUUUUAUUUUUUAUCGCAUGGUAAUUUAUUUUAUUUAGCAUUUUUAAUUAUUGUCUUUUAUUCAUUUGCAUAGAGUUAGAAUGUAUUUAGGUUCAAUGUAAAUAUAAAUGAGAAAAAUCAUGCUUUAUUUAUUUUUCCGCUUUUAUAUAUUCAAAAAAAUGCAAAAACAUAUUAGGUUAGAAAAGGAUUUUCGUGGUGAUCCAACGUCACUACGGAAAUUCCUCGCGUUUUAUUUUAUCGUCACGCUUUGUCUUUAGGUUUUAAUUAAUUAUUAAAAAAGAACAGAAACAUGUCAAUAACCAAAAAUUCACAAAAAAAAAAAAUUAUUUUUCAUAAUAAACCUGUAUUUUCAAUCAAGUGAUGUCCCUUUUUACCUUUAAUCAUAUUUCGAGUCAUUUCUUUUUCAACAUAAAAAAAAACACAAACAAACUAUAUUUUUGCCACUUUGGCUUUUACAUUUUAAAACUCAUAAAAAACACAAAACAAAUCAAUUGGUCAUUUUACUCCGAAUUACGAGGUUUUGAUCCCUCACGGGUACGUAGGCAAAGGACCUUAUUCUUCCAAAUCAAAUAAAUGUAAAAAAAAAAAAAAUUAUUUUAUUUUAAUCACCACUUUAAUUCUUUCUUUAAAAAAGCAAGUAAGUUAUUUUGAACUUUUUCCACUUUCCCUUAAAAUAUAAAAGUUCAGUGGUGAAUAAAAAUUAGUGAGUCAACGCUAAACUAAUAGCUUGAUCUCCGAAAAUCACCGCGACAACUUUUUACUCCGAACUACGUGGUUUUGAUCCUUCGCGGGUACGUAGGUAAAAGACUUUUGUCUUUCCAAAUCAAAAAAUAAUAAAAAAAUUAUAUUUUAUUUUUACUCAUCACAUUAAUCUUUUUUAAGCAAGCAAAAAUAAUUAUAGCCAAAAAUAAAUAAAAGCAAGAGGUUCCUAUAGAAUACUAUAGACGUUUAGGGUGCUAAUACCUUCCCGUUACGUAACUAACCUCUGAACCUUAAAUCUCUAAAAAUUGUAAUGAAAAAAAUUGCUAUCUGAAAAGGAAUUUUUAUUUUUUUUGUAAAAGUUAUUUAGACUCGCCAAAAGGAGGGGGAUUAAGGUUAUGUUAGACUAUCUAACAUUUAUAUGGCUGUAUUGGAUUAGGAUUUUAAAAGAUCAUUUUUGAUGAAAAAGUCUAGUGUAUUUUAAAAGAUUAUGCAAGAUUUUAACAAUUUUUAAGAUUUUAAUUCUCAAGAUUUGUAAUUUGGUUUUUAAUAUAUACACUAUUGAUUGAUUUAAAUUCGCUGUAUUUACUUUUUUAAUGAAAGUUUGAUUUUUCAAAAAAAAAAAUGAUAAGAAAGCAAAUUUGGACAAGUUACUACUAUUGAUUUCAUAUGGCCUUAGGUAAGACAUUUUAUCAGUACCUACGGUCUAAAUCUGUAGGUAAAACCAAAAUGUUUUGUCCGAUGGCCAUAGUUCCAUCACUAUAUGAUAAAUCGACGAAAAAAUCCGUAGGUAUAUCAUCACUAUUGCCCACGAAAGAUUCAUCCGUAGGUAUAAGUACUUGGUCUGUCACUAAAUGUUAAGUUUCAUGUAAUGUUAGUUAAGUGGCACUGGCAUUAAAACGAAUCUUAAGGGAACAGGUUAGUACUCCCAUUUAAAUAUGACAGACUUAUUUUUCCGAUAAUAGAAAAUGACAAGGACUUAUGUCCGAUAUCAGAAAAUGAUAGAGACUUGUUUAGUUGUAAUGAUUAUUUUUUUAGUUAGGAUUAUGGUUAGUUAUGAGUAUAAUAUGGUAAAUAUAACUGUAUGUUUGAUUCUAAUAUUAUGUUAAUCUUUAUGCAGCAGAAAUGGUGACAACUGAGAAGUGAGAACCACCUUUUGCAAGACCUCCUCCUAUUAGGUCACCUUUCUAUUAGAGGUAAAGGGUGCUUACUUAUAGGAACGGGCGGAGUAUAAUCUAACAAUUUCAAAAUCAUCGUGUAAAAUGCGGAUCAUAUAAAUUACUACUAUUUGAUUUUCAAAAAGAAAAGAAAAUCAUAAACUAUUACUGCAUGUUACUAACUGUCUCUGUAUUAGUGACUCGAAAAUAGGGAUCUAACGUGAGAGAAAAUUUCGAUAGGUGCAAAUCCCACUAAUCACUCUUCGAAGUUAGAACAACCAAUUAAAGAACUACACGUUAUUAGGAUUAAAAAGAAGCUGGUUAUAAAUAAGAAUAUAUUUUUUAAUACUCCACUUGUAAAAAAAUAAUAAAUGCCCUCCUGUCAUGUAAAUGCCCUAGUUUCUAAAUCAUGGGGAUUAAAAAGAAGCUGGUUAGUCAAGAAGUUCUAACUCAACUGAUAAAAAUACAAAAAUUGUUAGGCUGGAUGCCAUGACUAGGGUUCGAACCCCGGUGUCUCCACUUUUGUGUGUGAGUUUAUAAUAACUUUGCAAUUUCGUCUAUCUAUCAACAAAAAAAAAGAAGCUGGUUAAAAAGGGGUUGCCAUGUACACUAUUUAGAAUGGUGAACAUGGAGGGAAUAGUUGACAUAGGCCAUCUAUUUUAUGAUUUCUCUAUUUAAAAAUUGAGUCUUGUAAUUCGGUUUCUUUUCAAACCAGACAAUUUCAUAGUUGUUUUGAGUCUUUUAUUGAUAAAUCAUGUAAUUCGGCAAACAAGAAACCUCAUAGAAGUUUUUUUAUGACGAAGGAACGAAGAUUAUCAAGGGUCUACAAGGCUUUGAAGAAAUUACAAGUUGGGAAAAUUGUGUCUCAAGAACAAGUCAGAGAAGGAAAACACUCUAAGAGCGGUGAAAAAACGCUUUUUCCGCACCUGAGGCUAACAUCACACGCCCCACUCAUGACACACACAGCCCAGGCUCAUUGGAUAGAGAAAACAACUCUCUUUUAUACUGACCAUGCGGUCCAAGUAUGCUGUUCCGUGAAAAAUCAGCUUUUUCCUAAUUUUUUCUUGCGGGAUGGAGGAAAACGUCCAUAAUUUUAGCUCAAACCCAAUUGAAAAUAUGCUUAUAAAUAGAGCUCCUUUAACACAUAAAUAUUAAUUUAGAACUUGGCAGUUGAUGAAUGAAUUGGCAAGCCCAUCAAAUCGUAACAAGUAAUAAAGUGAAGUUAUCGUCUCCAUAUGAAUUGUCGUUCAACUUAUUAAUUAACAGUAAAAGAGAUAAAAUGGUUGCAGAUUUUUUAAUUGUCAUGCACAAUUUAAGAUCAUGUUGCUUUGAUUCAGAAGUUAACGACGAUUAGGGUAUCUUUAAAUAGUUAUGACCUGCCUUUGAUUCAAGAAAGUAGGAUAUGACCCCGUGAUAUAGUCGUGGGAAGUUUCAAUUUCAUAUAGUUGCAAUUUAUCCAGUUAUAAUUGAGGCGUCCCCUAAAGAUGAGGCAAAACCAUAAAAACCAUACUUAGAUUUAAUUAAAAGAGAUUAAUUUAGAAAAUAAGCAAUAUACUACUGUCUUGCUCAGACGGAUGUAGGAUUGUCUGUCUUAUACCUUCACCUAAAGAUUAGGUCAACUACUAGUUGAAAAACAUUUAUUACAGACAUAUACAAAUUAAAUCAAACACUUGAUUCAUAAACUGAAAAACACUUUAUUAGUUGAAUCUGACAAAUGAGAAGAGGUUCAUAUUGGAACCCUAAUCAAGAGAGGUUUAGUUGCACAUGGCAACCAACAUCAUUACAAAACAAUAGAAAAACAUACCCUAGAAAGGACAAGAGGAUGACAGAAAUCCUCUGCCUUGAAUCUCUGAUGCUUGACCCUUGCCUUGUACUACUAGCUUUCUAAAUGAAUAAAAGUAUGUGCAAUGGUCUCUAUUUAUAGUCAUAAUUACUUAGAGUUUAAGAUAUGAAAACUGGAUCUUUUCCACCAACCCAACUUGGAAAACAAGCAAAAUGAUAUUUUUGUCUGCAACCAUGCACACGGCGCAUGGAGUGACAUGCAGGGGUGCAUGAGGCAGCCUUGAAGGUUGUCUCAUCAUGAUGAACCAGGUAAUGAGAAGGUAACCACAAUUCGCAUACGGAUUAUAAGACUCUCAUGUGCAGGGGCGUAUGAGGCAGUAGCUCCAGUGCGAAUUUUGCAAUUUUCGUCCAUGUUUCGAGCGUUUUCUUCCGUCUUAAAAUGUCUUAGAACUUGGGAUGAAUUUUCUCCGGUUUGUAUAGUUUUCAAAAACCUUCUAAGAAUCAAUGAUCUUCAUUCUUCAUAUCCUUGCUCAAGUGAUUGGUGCAUAUGAUGUGUAAGGUGAGUAUUAUAAUUGUAACCCCCUCAAAUUUGAGCCCCAAUCCUAAAACUAAAUAUAUGAAAAAGAUCAAAAUAAGAACGAAGCAGUGACCCAUACAAUGUGGUCUUGGGACAAUUAAUUUUAUUUUUUUUUCCGAAACAAAACGUGUCCCAAAAAGUCUAUUUUGGUGUGCUGGAUGCUAGGUUACUCAAUAUUUACCAGUACUUUUUAUUUACAUUUAGAAUAAAAUUUAGUUUUUUAUAGAAUAAAAUAAAUGUACAUAACCUUAUUAGAGACCUUAUAAAAGGGUUGCUCAAUCAAUCUAAAGUAAUCAAACUAGCUAAACACAAAAAGCAUAAAAUGGAUACAAAAAGGCAAGCAUUGCUCCUUCUGUUAGUCUUAACAAUAUUUCCCUUCACUAUCAAAGCAUCUUCAAGUGGUGGCAUUGCCAUCUACUGGGGCCAAAACCUAGGAGAUGGCACCUUGACAUCAACAUGUGACACUGGUAAUUACGAGAUUGUACUCUUAGCUUUCCUCAAUGUCUUUGGAGGAGGAAGAGUCCCAAGUUGGAACUUUGCAGGUCAUUGUGGUGACUGGAGCCCUUGCACAAAACUCGAACCCGAAAUAAAACACUGUCAACAAAAAGGGAUCAAAGUUUUACUUUCCCUUGGAGGUGCAUCUGGAUCCUACUCCCUUAGCUCACCAGACGAUGCUAAAAAUGUUGCUGAUUACCUCUAUACUAACUUUCUUAGUGGUCAAUUUGGUCCACUUGGAAGUGUUACCUUAGAUGGUAUUGAUUUUGACAUUGAAGGAGGUAGCAAUCUUUACUGGGAUGACCUUGCUAGGAAUCUUGACAAUCUAAGACAACAAAACAGGUAAUGUUUUUUGAAGGAGAAGUUUUAGCAUACUAGUAAUUUGUCUGUCUCAUAUUAAGUAUUUUUAAGAUUAUGUACAUUUCUUAAGAGAAUCGUUGAGUGUGUACAAAAUAAGAUAAAAUGAGUUAAAUUCUACUAAUUUUGUUUUAUUAAUAGUGGUGAAUAGAAUAGUUAGUGAUUUGAAAUAAAGGGUGCCAAUUUAAGUCGAUGAUGUCUUCUAUUCUCU
rnacentral:lncRNA from 1 species